UACGUAGGGGGCAAGCGUUGUCCGGAUUUAUUGGGCGUAAAGAGCUCGUAGGUGGUUCGGUAAGUCGGAUGUGAAAUCUCCAGGCUCAACCUGGAGGGGUCAUUCGAUACUGCCGUGACUAGAGCUCGGUAGGGGAGUGUGGAAUUCCUGGUGGAGCGGUGAAAUGCGCAGAUAUCAGGAGGAACACCGAUGGCGAAGGCAGGUCUCUGGGCAUUAACUGACGCUGAGGAGCGAAAGCAUGGGGAGCGAACAGG
rnacentral:rRNA from 1 species